UACGGGGGGGGCAAGCGUUGUUCGGAUUUACUGGGCGUAAAGGGAGUGUAGGCGGUUGGUCAAGUCGGAUGUGAAAGCUUCACCACUCAACGGGAAGAGGUCAUCCGAAACUGGCCGGCUAGAGUAGGGUAGAGGCAAGCGGAAUUCCUGGUGUAGCGGUGGAAUGUGUAGAUAUCAGGAAGAACAUCGGUGGCGAAGGCGGGUCUCUGGGCCGAUACUGACGCUGAGGAGCGAAAGCGUGGGGAGCGAACAGG
rnacentral:rRNA from 1 species